UGGGCUCGAAAUGUAGUGGACCGGAGUGGAAACAUUCCUUCCCCGCAAGGGGCUGCUAUAU
rnacentral:rRNA from 1 species